rnacentral:rRNA from 1 species
AGUGAACGCUGGCGGUAGGCCUAACACAUGCAAGUCGAACGGCAGCACAGUAAGAGCUUGCUCUUACGGGUGGCGAGUGGCGGACGGGUGAGGAAUACAUCGGAAUCUACUUUUUCGUGGGGGAUAACGUAGGGAAACUUACGCUAAUACCGCAUACGACCUACGGGUGAAAGCAGGGGAUCUUCGGACCUUGCGCGAUUGAAUGAGCCGAUGUCGGAUUAGCUAGUUGGCGGGGUAAAGGCCCACCAAGGCGACGAUCCGUAGCUGGUCUGAGAGGAUGAUCGGCCACACUGGAACUGAGAAACGGUCCAGCCCCCUACGGGAGGAAGCAGUGGGGAAUAUUGGAAAAUGGGCGCAAGCCUGAUCCAGCCAUUCCGCGGGGGGGAAGAAGGCCUUCGGGUUGUAAAGCCCUUUUGUUGGGAAAGAAAAGCAGCAGGUUAAUACCCCGCUGUUCGGACGGUACCCAAAGAAUAAGCACCGGCUAACUUCGU